rnacentral:rRNA from 1 species
CCCUUAGAUGUUCUGGGCCGCACACGCGCUACACUGAAGGAGGCAGCGUGUACUCCUGGAUCGAAAGAUUUGGGUAACCCGCGAAUCUCCUUCGUGCUAGGGAUUGAGGUUUGCAAUUAUCCUUCAUGAACGAGGAAUUCACAGUAAGUGCAAGUCAUAAGCUUGCGCUGACUACGUCCCUGCCCUUUGUACACACCGCCCGUCGCUACUACCGAUUGAAUGAUUUAGUGAGGACUUCGGACUGGGACCGAUGCGGCUUUCGGGCUGCGUCGGUAUUCUGGAAAGAUGUCCAAACUGUAUCAUUUAGAGGAAGUAAAAGUCGUAACA